GCUCUUUGUCUGGUAAUGGAGAUGAUGAAGCCAUUAGCCACCUCCUCUAUCAGACAUAGGUGUAAAGCAUUAUGCUUCCAUAGCCAUGCAAGCUGCAGAAUGUCCAAUUCUCAACAUCCCACUUUCAAUGACGUGUCCAACCUUCACCACCCUCUCUUCUCUAUAAAUUACCACUUCUCAUUAAGGUUCUCCGCAUCACAACCAACAUUCUCUUAGUAUCUCUCUUCAUGGCUAAGCUUCUUGCACUUUCUCUUUCAUUCUGUUUUCUACUUUUGGGUGGCUGUUUUGCUUUGAGAGAACAGCCACAGCAAAAUGAGUGCCAGCUAGAACGCCUCGAUGCCCUCGAGCCUGAUAACCGUAUAGAAUCGGAAGGUGGGCUCAUUGAGACUUGGAAUCCCAACAACAAGCAAUUCCGAUGUGCUGGUGUGGCCCUCUCUCGUGCUACCCUUCAACGCAACGCCCUUCGCAGACCUUACUACUCCAAUGCUCCCCAAGAAAUUUUCAUCCAACAAGGUAAUGGAUAUUUUGGCAUGGUAUUCCCCGGUUGUCCUGAGACCUUUGAAGAGCCACAAGAAUCUGAACAAGGAGAGGGACGCAGGUACAGAGACAGACAUCAAAAGGUUAACCGAUUCAGAGAGGGUGAUAUCAUUGCAGUUCCUACUGGUAUUGUAUUUUGGAUGUACAACGACCAAGACACUCCAGUUAUUGCCGUCUCUCUUACUGACAUUAGAAGCUCCAAUAACCAGCUUGAUCAGAUGCCUAGGAGAUUCUAUCUUGCUGGGAACCACGAGCAAGAGUUUCUACAAUACCAGCAUCAACAAGGAGGAAAGCAAGAACAAGAAAAUGAAGGCAACAACAUUUUCAGUGGCUUCAAGAGGGAUUUCUUGGAAGAUGCUUUCAACGUGAACAGGCAUAUAGUAGACAGACUUCAAGGCAGGAAUGAAGACGAAGAGAAGGGAGCCAUUGUCAAAGUGAAAGGUGGACUCAGCAUCAUAAGCCCACCCGAGAAGCAAGCGCGCCACCAGAGAGGCAGCAGACAAGAGGAAGAUGAAGAUGAAGAGAAGCAGCCGCGCCACCAGAGAGGCAGCAGACAAGAGGAAGAGGAAGAUGAAGAUGAAGAGAGGCAGCCGCGUCAUCAAAGGAGAAGAGGAGAGGAGGAAGAAGAAGAAGACAAGAAAGAGCGCGGCGGCAGCCAAAAAGGCAAAAGCAGAAGGCAAGGAGACAAUGGGCUUGAGGAAACAGUUUGCACUGCUAAACUUCGAUUGAACAUUGGCCCGUCUUCAUCACCAGACAUCUACAACCCUGAAGCUGGUAGAAUCAAAACUGUUACCAGCCUGGACCUCCCAGUUCUCAGGUGGCUCAAACUAAGUGCUGAGCAUGGAUCUCUCCACAAAAAUGCUAUGUUUGUGCCUCACUACAACCUGAAUGCAAACAGUAUAAUAUACGCAUUGAAGGGACGUGCAAGGCUACAAGUAGUGAACUGCAAUGGCAACACCGUGUUUGAUGGAGAGCUAGAAGCCGGACGUGCAUUGACAGUGCCACAAAACUAUGCUGUGGCUGCAAAGUCACUAAGCGACAGGUUCUCAUAUGUAGCAUUCAAGACCAAUGAUAGAGCUGGUAUUGCAAGACUUGCAGGGACAUCAUCAGUUAUAAAUAAUCUGCCGUUGGAUGUUGUUGCAGCUACAUUCAACCUGCAGAGGAAUGAGGCAAGGCAGCUCAAGUCCAACAAUCCCUUCAAAUUUCUAGUUCCAGCUCGUGAGUCUGAGAACAGAGCUUCGGCUUAGAUUUGGCACCAAAUCAAUGAAAGUAAUGAAUAAGAAAACUAAGGCUUAGAUGCCUUUGUUACUUGUGUAAAAUAACUCGAGUCAUGUACCUUUUAGCGGAAACAGAAUAAAUAAAAGGUAAAAUUUCAGUGCUC